GGCGCCGUUGCCGGGGAUUGUCAAGAAGUUGCUUUAAUAUUUCCGAUAGGACUUUAUAGUACUUCAGGCUUUUAUUUGUUUUUAUUUUUUUUUCUGUUUUUAUUUUUUUAGUGUGGUUUUAUAGGGUGCGCAUGAACACUAGAUCUCACGGAAAUCCUCUUUUUGAGUUGGACCUUGAAAUCAACAAGACUUUGCGCGAUCUUAAGAAGCAGAACAAUCAAGUUGAGACAAACACGAUGGCUACUCCUGAGCAAAUCCAAAUUCAAAUGCGAGCUCUGCAAGAGCAAUUGAAGAAGCUGAUUGAUAAAUCGGAGGCUGAAGAGGGUCAGAAGCAACCAGCCAUCAAUGAAGCAUUCAUACCACAGUAUGUGUA
rnacentral:lncRNA from 1 species